GAGCUAUUUAUACUAGAGUACAGAACACUGGCCAGUACUACCGGUGCAAACACCGGUACCACCGGCGCCCCCAGAUCUAAACGUGAGAAAGCUGAGAAAGAUGCGAGAAAAAGGCCUACCGGUACUACCGGCCUUGGGCCGGUACUACCGGCCAGCGCCGGUACUACCGGUGGAAGGCCGGUACCACCGGCAGUGCAAAAUCUCGCAAAACAUGAGUUCUGCGGGAUUUUUGCCUGCCGGUACUACCG
rnacentral:lncRNA from 1 species